CCCCACAACCCCCCUAGGCGCCGUGUGCUUGGUUUUAGGUUGGGGCGACCGCGGAGUACAAUAAAACCUCCACAAUGAAUGGGAACACCCCCUUAUCUGAGGGCCACACCCCCUAAGAAUUAGAACACUAACAUAAAAUGAUCCAUUACUUGAUCAAUGAACCAAGUUACCCUGGGGAUAACAGCGCAAUCCAUUUCAAGAGCCCCUAUCGACAAAUGGGUUUACGACCUCGAUGUUGGAUCAGGGUACCCCAGUGGUGCAGCAGCUACUAACGGUUCGUUUGUUCAACGAUUAAAACCCU
rnacentral:rRNA from 1 species